UCCCCACUUUCAGCACUUGUGUGAUGUC
rnacentral:piRNA from 2 species